GCUGAACGCUGGCGGCGUGCCUAACACAUGCAAGUCGAACGGAGCUGCUUUGAUGAAGUUUUCGGAUGGAUUUCAAACAGCUUAGUGGCGGACGGGUGAGUAACGCGUGGGUAACCUGCCUCACACUGGGGGAGAACAGUUAGAGAUAGCUGCUAAUACCGCAUAAGCGCACAGUUCCGCCUGGAAAAGUGUGAAAAACUCCGGUGGUGGGAGAUGGACCCGCGUCUGAUUAGCCAGUUGGCGGGGUAACGGCCCACCAAAGCGACGAUCAGUAGCCGGCCUGAGAGGGUGAACGGCCACAUUGGGACUGAGACACGGCCCAAACUCCUACGGGAGGCAGCAGUGGGGAAUAUUGCACAAUGGGGGAAACCCUGAUGCAGCGACGCCGCGUGAGUGAAGAAGUAUUUCGGUAUGUAAAGCUCUAUCAGCAGGGAAGAAAGUGACGGUACAUGAAUAAGAAGCCCCGGAUAACUACGUGCCAGCAGCCGCCGUAA
rnacentral:rRNA from 1 species